ACUCCAUGACCUUGGCCUCAGCUCUGCUCUCUGCAACUGGACCCUCAGCUUUCUGACCCACAGACCACAAUCAACAAAGAUAAGUAACUGCACCUUGUCCACAAUAACACUCAAUGCUGGAGCACCACAAGGAUGCGUUCUCAACCCUCAACUGUACUCCCUGUACACCUAUGACCAUGUUGCCAAAUUCUGAAUGAACGCCAUCUGCUAGAUCACUGAUGACAUCACCGUAAUGGGAUGGAUAUCUAACAACGACAAGUCAAAAUACAGAAGCAGACACUCAGGCUGUAUGGGUGGAACAAGUAAUUGAAGACUCACAGUUGUCUUCAACCUGGAAGUCAAGAUUUAUUCCAGAAAAUAUGAAUGGCAACAUCAGCAAAGCGUGCAGACAUGACUCAAGAAACAGCAGCAAACCGACAUGAUCUCAUUGCUUCAAGUUAAAAACAGAGAGAAUAUAAAUUUUUAAACUUGCUUUUUUGAACAUGCCACUGCUGA